UCCUCCUUACAGAGGCAGUUUUGUCCGAGUUCCCGACAUUACUCGCUGGCAACAGACAAUGAGGGUUGCGCUCGUUGCGGGACUUAACCCAACAUUUCACAACACGAGCUGACGACAGCCAUGCACCACCUGUGUAACACCCUCGAAGGCGACCGCUUUUCGGCGGCUUGCAGCUACAUGUCAAGCCCUGGUAAGGUUCUUCGCGUUGCAUCGAAUUAAGCCACAUGCUCCACCGCUUGUGCGGGCCCCCGCCAAUUCCUUUGAGUUUUAACCUUGCGGUCGUAAUCCCCAGGCGGGGUGCUUAAUGCGUUAGCUACGGCACGGAUCCCAAGGAAGGAAACCCACACCUAGCACUCAACGUUUACGGCUGGGACUAC
rnacentral:misc_RNA from 1 species